CAGCCGCCGCGGGAAUACGGAGGAUCCAAGCGUUAUCCGGAAUCAUUGGGUUUAAAGGGUCCGUAGGCGGUCUUGUAAGUCAGUGGUGAAAGCCCAUCGCUCAACGGUGGAACGGCCAUUGAUACUGCAGGACUUGAAUUAUUGGGAAGUAACUAGAAUAUGUAGUGUAGCGGUGAAAUGCUUAGAGAUUACAUGGAAUACCAAUUGCGAAGGCAGGUUACUACCAAUUGAUUGACGCUGAUGGACGAAAGCGUGGGUAGCGAACAGGAUUAGAUACCCCAUAGUCCCUGUCUCUUAUACA
rnacentral:rRNA from 1 species